CAGCAACCUCUACGUAGCGAGAUCUGAUUCCGAUAGUACUUGCGAUAUAUCGAAAUCUUAUGGUAUAAAUAAUACCGAGCGAAUGGUUGCGUCUGGGUUGCGUCUGGGUUGCCUCUGGGUUGCGUUAUUUCAAGAAUAUCUUUUGAAUCUAAUUCCAACUCGAAUAUAUCGAACAUAAACAUACUAAUCAUUACAUUUUACAUUGCUAAUCAUACUUCAAUAGAUAAAUAGAUUGGAUAUGAUAGAAUUCUAAAAUAAUUUUUUAGAAAACUUUUCUAUCACACUUAUUUCAUUAUCAUUCUCAUUUAUUCUUAUUUACUCCUCUAUUAUUUAUAAGUUUCGGGUAGUGCCUUUGAGAGUAGAGUUGGAUUCAUGGGUGUAGGCCCCUAACCACGCAGCUUUCUUAACAUCCUGUAAUCUUUGAGAAGAAGGGUCCUUAAAUUUUAGCCCUUAAGACUAGAUCAUUGAUGGAUGAUUCGUCGGUAGGGUGGAUGGUCCACGAGGUUUCGGUACAUCAGCGUAAGUCCAAUGUAUCGUCUAGAGAAUCGGUUCGUCAUCGUGGGAUUAAAUUUUUCCACGGAAAAUUAUGGAACCUCUUCGCGUUAUAUGCAGAGAGGAUGUAUCUUUUUUCUUCAAUAAGAAGAAAAUAUGCUCGCGCGUCGGCGGGCAUAGGCAAGUGUAUUCGUGGGCGCGAGAUCUACCGAGUGCUUUAAUAUUUGAAAUAUCGAAAGCACGAUCGGUCGUGUGCGUGUCUGAUGCUGACGGUAUCAAAUGAUGGAGCUAUCCAUUUUCAACUGCUUGGACGCGCCAGGUAUCUACCAAUCCCAUUGCAAGGUGCAGACUAGCCAAGUCUAACGUUAAAGAACGGAAAAAUGGAGUCGGAUUAAUAUACUUUAUCAAAAUGUUAAAGAAAAACGUUUCUUUGAUUAAUACUGCUAUAUUUAAGAAAGAAAUCUUAAUAAUUUGAUAUCAUUAUUUGUGAUACUACAGUGUCGAUAGAGAUAGAAAUAUAAAGAGAUUUUAGAAGAUUUAGUGUCUCUUAUAUGAAAUUAAUAUUCCCUCACCAAAUGUGGAAAAUAGUAAUAUAUUUCGGUCUUGGAGUCUAUACCGGUUUAUAUCUAAGUCAGAAUUAUGAGGUAUG